GCCGGGUGCAGUGGCGGGUGCCUGUAAUCUCAGCUACUCGGGAGGCUGAGGAAGGGGAAUUGCUUGAACCCAGGAGGCAGAGGUUGCAGUGAGCCAAGAUUGUGCCACUGCACUCCAGCCUGGGUGACAGAGCAAGACUCUGUCUCAG
rnacentral:SRP_RNA from 1 species